rnacentral:lncRNA from 1 species
AGAUAUUAUAUAAUUUUCAAGAAUAAUGCUGCAAAUAAACAUAAGAUUAUAUUUCAUGCUGAUUUAAUACAAAUCAAAUAUUUUCAAAUAUUCACAUAUAAUAUAAUCAUAAAUCCGAUUCGAUUCAAAACACUCGUAACUCAACAGCCUCGACUAUGACCAAUGUUUAACCCCCAUUGGCGGGGUCCACAGAAUACCAGCGCACAACCCCCACUGGUAGGGUCCACUGAGUACCAACGUAUAAUCCCCAUUGGCGGGGCCCACUGAAACAUAGUUAGGCUGAGAGCAUAAAUCCGAUCUGUAUCAAAACACUUUGUAUCAUAAUAUAUCAUAAUUUUUUACUGAAUAUGUGUAUAAAUCGACGUACCAUAAUAUUUCAAAAGCACUUUUCUUACAAAACAUAAUUUCAUAAAUCAUGCAUAAUUUCAGAGAAUAAUUAUUUAUUUUCAGAAUAAAUAUGAAAUAUCUCGAGAAGAUGAUUCAUUACUUAUCUUUCACGGAGCACUGAAUGAA